rnacentral:rRNA from 1 species
AUGCACGCUGGCGACGUGCCUAAUACAUGCAAGUCGAGCGAACAGACGAGGAGCUUGCUCCUCUGACGUUAGCGGCGGACGGGUGAGUAACACGUGGAUAACCUACCUAUAAGACUGGGAUAACUUCGGGAAACCGGAGCUAAUACCGGAUAAUAUAUUGAACCGCAUGGUUCAAUAGUGAAAGACGGUUUUGCUGUCACUUAUAGAUGGAUCCGCGCCGCAUUAGCUAGUUGGUAAGGUAACGGCUUACCAAGGCAACGAUGCGUAGCCGACCUGAGAGGGUGAUCGGCCACACUGGAACUGAGACACGGUCCAGACUCCUACGGGAGGCAGCAGUAGGGAAUCUUCCGCAAUGGGCGAAAGCCUGACGGAGCAACGCCGCGUGAGUGAUGAAGGUCUUCGGAUCGUAAAACUCUGUUAUUAGGGAAGAACAAAUGUGUAAGUAACUAUGCACGUCUUGACGGUACCUAAUCAGAAAGCCACGGCUAACUACGUG